rnacentral:tRNA from 1 species
GGAAUCAUAGGUUAAAUUAAAUCUAAACCGUUGGCCUUCAAAGCCGAAAAUGAAUAUUCUGGUUUCG